GGCACGGGUGAGUAACACGUGGGUAACCUGCCUGUAAGACUGGGAUAACUCCGGGAAACCGGGGCUAAUACCGGAUGCUUGUUUGAACCGCAUGGUUCAAACAUAAAAGGUGGCUUCGGCUACCACUUACAGAUGGACCCGCGGCGCAUUAGCUAGUUGGUGAGGUAAUGGCUCACCAAGGCGACGAUGCGUAGCCGACCUGAGAGGGUGAUCGGCCACACUGGGACUGAGACACGGCCCAGACUCCUACGGGAGGCAGCAGUAGGGAAUCUUCCGCAAUGGACGAAAGUCUGACGGAGCAACGCCGCGUGAGUGAUGAAGGUUUUCGGAUCGUAAAGCUCUGUUGUUAGGGAAGAACAAGUACCGUUCGAAUAGGGCGGUACCUUGACGGUACCUAACCAGAAAGCCACGGCUAACUACGUGCCAGCAGCCGCGGUAAUACGUAGGUGGCAAGCGUUGUCCGGAAUUAUUGGGCGUAAAGGGCUCGCAGGCGGUUUCUUAAGUCUGAUGUGAAAGCCCCCGGCUCAACCGGGGAGGGUCAUUGGAAACUGGGGAACUUGAGUGCAGAAGAGGAGAGUGGAAUUCCACGUGUAGCGGUGAAAUGCGUAGAGAUGUGGAGGAACACCAGUGGCGAAGGCGACUCUCUGGUCUGUAACUGACGCUGAGGAGCGAAAGCGUGGGGAGCGAACAGGAUUAGAUACCCUGGUAGUCCACGCCGUAAACGAUGAGUGCUAAGUGUUAGGGGGUUUCCGCCCCUUAGUGCUGCAGCUAACGCAUUAAGCACUCCGCCUGGGGAGUACGGUCGCAAGACUGAAACUCAAAGGGAAUUUGACGGGGGUCCGCACAGCGUGAGCAUGUGCUUUAAAUUCGAAGCAACGCGUAAGAAACCCUUAACCAAGGUCCUG
rnacentral:rRNA from 2 species